ACUGGAUCUUGCCCUUUGUGUUUACAUGGCAUUAAUUGAGUAACUAACUCUUGGUGAGACAGUUUUCCCUUACCAUAGGAGUUGACAAUUUUAAGGAAAUAAUGUAGGAAAUGGUUCAGAAAGGGUACCUAUAAGACCUACCCUGGCACCUAGGUAAACACUCACCAUCCUAUCUACCUUAACUGUCUCCAUAAAGCAUAAUUCCAGCUGGAUUUGUACAUCAUCAUCUUUGAAUACUUCUCUAUAGGUGACCAGAUGAAGGAAAAAUGCUACUAUCUACCAAAACACCUGUCAAGAACGAUGACUCUGCACUGUAUCUGGAGAAAAAGACAGCCAGAGCUAUAAGGGAGGCCCUGUCAAAGAAAAAGAAUAAGAGAAGGAAGAGGAGAAGAAAUGAAACAGGAGUAAAAAGAAGAAGAGGAGAAAGUGGAAGAGGAGGGAGAAAAGAAUAAAGAAAAAGAAACUAGGUAUGGUUAUUCUAUUUCUUAAGCACGUGUUACAUGCAGAGCCUUUUUCUAACUAUUAUUCUAUCAACUU
rnacentral:lncRNA from 1 species